AGGAAGAAGAAAACAGACUUCAUUGACAAGGAAAAGUAAACAUUGCAUCUUGGCAAAAAUGCAGUUUAAAUAUUUAGAAUAUUGUGAUUCAUUGUUCAAUUAAGCACCAGUCUCAAAUUUUAGGACAGUCGAUGGAUGAUGAAGAGGAGAGGAGAGAAAAGUGCUUGUUUCCCUAGAGGUCUCAGUCUUAUUGCUCCUUCGGAAGAGAAGAGAUAUAGCUUAUACAGACUAAAAUUUGGGGACGAUGACAUGGAGGGUUUGUGCAAAGGCCAGAAACUGUGACAAAUUAUCCAAUUCCACAAAACCGAAGCUAGUCCACCGUCCUCUCUUCAAUCGAAGGGUUGUUCCCCUCCCAAAAAGAACCCAAACAAACAGAAAAGAAAAGAAUCUGUGACUGAGACUUUAUGGUCCACAAAGCCUAAAAUAUUUACUAUGUGGCCCUUUAAGAAGUUUGGCUGACCCUUGUUCUAUCUGAAGGGAGUAAACGGUCAACCAUGCAGGUCUUGGCAGUAACGAGGCACUUCAGACACGGUAACCUGGAGCCCAGAGUGGAAUUCAAUUUUUUUUCAGUAGGUAUAACUUUAUUAACUUGAAAAUGAAGGCUAAAUAUUUGGUUUCAGUUGGCUUACUCUAGCUGUGUUGUCCCAUUCUGUAGCCACUUGCCACAUAUGACUAUUUAAAUUUAAAUUAAGUUAAAUUAAAAACUCGGUUCCUUAA